AUAAUUUUAACCAGAAUUAGUUAUAUAUAACAUAUCUGAUAUUAAUAAUACUGAAUUAAUGAAAUAACAAAACUAAUUGUUCAGUGAUAUUAACAAUAGAAUAAUAUAAUAAUUAUUCCCUGUAACACAUCACAGUUCAAAUACAGAAGUAGAAGAAAAAGUCACAGCCAUUUUACUACUAAUUCACAGUUUAUUAAUUAUCACUAAUUAACAAACUAGAAGUCUAUUUAAUUUUAAAGACAGAUACUAAUCCGAUUUAUAUAUUUCAGUAAAUCCUGAAGAGAGCAUGUUGUAUUGCAAUUACAACUUUCAAUGUUUAGAUUAAAGGAAAGUCACAGUUAUUUUGGUCGAAACAUUAUUCAAUCAGUGCAGUCUUAUAUCCGAAAUCAGACCAUUAAAUACAAUAAUAAUGAUUAUUUAUUAUAACACAUCACAAUGCAGAUGCAAAAUAGAAGAAAGUCACGACUGUAUUAUUAUUAUUUCACAACUUAUUGUUUAUCAUUGACUAAUUAAUUAAAAUCUAUUCAAUUUAAAGUCAGAUACUAAUUUAACUGGUCUAUUUCAGUAAGUUCGAUAUACCUAGUAUUGUUAAUAUUAAAUCAUGUCCACAAGAAGUUCAUCAUACAGCAAAUAACUAUUUAACACCAUAUUCCAAAUUAGAAUAAUAAUAUUGUUUUAUUCAACAGGGUCCCAUUCAGAGUCUAAAGAUGACAUCAGAGCAAUCAUCAUCAAUUUUAAUACAUCCGACUUAACGAAAUACAUAUACCGUAUAAAUAUACACAUAUGUAAAUCUUGGAAUGAAAAGCGACAAUAUCCUCCUCCAGAAGAGCAACAAAUAUGACAGAAGCACUAAUAGGACUUAUCAUUAGAAAGUUUCUUAUACGAUUAUCAAUCCAGACUAAUUGAAGUAAUUAAUGCAUAUCAAUGUCUAUUAUCACAUUAAUAAUAAAGUCACUAAUUAUCAGACCAAUAA